rnacentral:rRNA from 1 species
UACAGAGGGUGCUAGCGUUGUUCGGAAUCAUUGGGCGUAAAGGGCGUGUAGGCGGUUUGUUAAGUCAUGUGUGAAAUCCCUCGGCUCAACCGAGGAAAGACGCAUGAAACUGGCAAGCUAGAGUACCGAAGAGGGGGGUGGAAUUCCCGGUGUAGCGGUGAAAUGCGUAGAUAUCGUCAAGAACACCUAUAGCGAAGGCAGCUUACUAGGCUGUAACUGACGCUGAGGCACGAAAGUGUGGGGAUCAAACAGG